UAACCUCUGGAGGUUUCCAUAUGUCUGUCAAAAGAACGGAGGAGGGGCGUUCCUGAUUCCCUACGUCAUCUCAACAGCUGUGUUGGCAAUCCCACUCUUCAUCCUGGAGGUUGCUCUUGGUCAGUUUUCUGCUAAAGGACCUAUUAAGAUUUGGUCAAUAUGUCCACUCAUGAAAGGUCUUGGAUUUUGCAU